CCUACGGGAGGCAGCAGUGAGGAAUAUUGGUCAAUGGGCGGGAGCCUGAACCAGCCAAGCCGCGUGAGGGAAGAAGGUACAGCGUAUCGUAAACCUCUUUUGUCAGGGAACAAAGGCGGGGACUAGUCCCCGGAUGAGGGUACCUGACGAAAAAGCAUCGGCUAACUCCGUGCCAGCAACCGCGGUAAUACGGAGGAUGCGAGCGUUAUCCGGAUUUAUGGGGUUAAAAGGGUGCGCAGGGGGCCUGUUAUGUCAGCGGUAAAAGCCCGGGGCUCAAGCCCGGCGAGCCUUUGAAACUGGCGGACGGGAGUUGGAGAGAGGUACGCGGAAUGCGCGGUGUAGCGGUGAAAGGCUAAGAUAUCGCGCAGAACCCCGAUUGCGAAGGCAGCGUACCGGCUCCACACUGACGCUGAGGCACGAAAGCGUGGGUAUCGAACAGGAUUAGAGACCCGAGUAGUC
rnacentral:rRNA from 1 species